rnacentral:rRNA from 1 species
AGCGGACGCUGGCGGCAGGCCUAACACAUGCAAGUCGAACGAACUCUUCGGAGUUAGUGGCGGACGGGUGAGUAACACGUGGGAACGUGCCUUUAGGUUCGGAAUAACUCAGGGAAACUUGUGCUAAUACCGAAUGUGUCCUUCGGGGGAAAGAUUUAUCGCCUUUAGAGCGGCCCGCGUCUGAUUAGCUAGUUGGUGAGGUAAAGGCUCACCAAGGCGACGAUCAGUAGCUGGUCUGAGAGGAUGAUCAGCCACAUUGGGACUGAGACACGGCCCAAACUCCUACGGGAGGCAGCAGUGGGGAAUCUUGCGCAAUGGGCGAAAGCCUGACGCAGCCAUGCCGCGUGAAUGAUGAAGGUCUUAGGAUUGUAAAAUUCUUUCACCGGGGACGAUAAUGACGGUACCCGGAGAAGAAGCCCCGGCUAACUUCGUG